rnacentral:rRNA from 1 species
CCUACGGUGGCAGCAGUGGGGAAUAUUGGGCAAUGGGCGCAAGCCUGACCCAGCAACGCCGCGUGAAGGAAGAAGGCUUUCGGGUUGUAAACUUCUUUUAAGAGGGAAGAGCAGAAGACGGUACCACUUGAAUAAGCCAUGGCUAACUACGGGCCAGCAGCCGCGGUAAUACGUAGGUGGCAAGCGUUGUCAGGAUUUACUGGGGGUAAAGGGCGUGUAGACGGGCGGUCAAGUCAGAUGUGAAAUCCCGUGGCUCAACCAGGGAACUGCAUUUGAUACUGGCGGUCUUGAGUAUCGGAGAGGCAGGCAGAAUUCCAAGUGUAGCGGUGAAAUGCGUAGAUAUUAGGAGGAACACCAGUGGCGAAGGCGGCCUGCUGGACAACAACUGACGGUGAGGCGCGAAAGCGUGGGGAGCAAACAGGAUUAGAUACCCCAGUAGUC